rnacentral:rRNA from 1 species
AUACGCAUCCUUUGCUGAGGAGACGGUUAACGGAGCGAAAGCGACGUUCAACCUCAAAAGAAGCAGAGGGGGCUUAGUGGUGGGGUGACUGCGUACCUUUUGUAUAAUGGGUCAGCGACUUAUAUUCUGUAGCAAGGUUAACUGUAUAGGGGAGCCGGAGGGAAACCGAGUCUUAACCGGGCGUUAAGUUGCAGGGUAUAGACCCGAAACCCGGUGAUCUAGCCAUGGGCAGGUUGAAGGUUGGGUAACACUAACUGGAGGACCGAACCGACUAAUGUUGAAAAAUUAGCGGAUGACCUGUGGCUGGGGGUGAAAGGCCAAUCAAACCGGGAGAUAGCUGGUUCUCCCCGAAAGCUAUUUAGGUAGCGCCUCGUGAAUUCAUCUCCGGGGGUAGAGCACUGUUUCGGCUAGGGGGCCAUCCCGGCUUACCAACCCGAUGCAAACUGCGAAUACCGGAGAAUGUUAUCACGGGAGACACACGGCGGGUGCUAAUGUCCGUCGUGAAGAGGGAAACAACCCAGACCGCCAGCUAAGGUCCCAAAGUCAUGGUUAAGUGGGAAACGAUGUGGGAAGGCCCAGACAGCCAGGAUGUUGGCUUAGAAGCAGCCAUCAUUUAAAGAAAGCGUAAUAGCUCACUGGUCGAGUCGGCCUGCGCGGAAGAUGUAACGGGGCUAAACCAUGCACCGAAGCUGCGGCAGCGACACCGUGUGUUGUUGGGUAGGGGAGCGUUCUGUAAGCCUGUGAAGGUGUGCUGUGAGGCAUGCUGGAGGUAUCAGAAGUGCGAAUGCUGACAUAAGUAACGAUAAAGCGGGUGAAAAGCCCGCUCGCCGGAAGACCAAGGGUUCCUGUCCAACGUUAAUCGGGGCAGGGUGAGUCGACCCCUAAGGCGAGGCCGAAAGGCGUAGUCGAUGGGAAACGGGUUAAUAUUCCCGUACUUGGUGUUACUGCGAAGGGGGGACGGAGAAGGCUAUGUUGGCCGGGCGACGGUUGUCCCGGUUUAAGCGUGUAGGUAUGUGUUCCAGGUAAAUCCGGUUCACUUUAACACUGAGGCGUGACGACGAGGCACUACGGUGCUGAAGCAACAAAUGCCCUGCUUCCAGGAAAAGCCUCUAAGCAUCAGGUAACAUCAAAUCGUACCCCAAACCGACACAGGUGGUCAGGUAGAGAAUACCAAGGCGCUUGAGAGAACUCGGGUGAAGGAACUAGGCAAAAUGGUGCCGUAACUUCGGGAGAAGGCACGCUGACACGUAGGUGAAGUGAUUUACUCACGGAGCUGAAGUCAGCCGAAGAUACCAGCUGGCUGCAACUGUUUAUUAAAAACACAGCACUGUGCAAACACGAAAGUGGACGUAUACGGUGUGACGCCUGCCCGGUG